UACGAAGGGUGCUAGCGUUGUUCGGAAUUACUGGGCGUAAAGGGCGCGUAGGCGGCGUGUCAAGUCAGGCGUGAAAGCCCCGGGCUCAACCUGGGAACCGCGCUUGAGACUGGCAUGCUCGAGUUCGGGAGAGGAUGGUGGAAUUCCCAGUGUAGAGGUGAAAUUCGUAGAUAUUGGGAAGAACACCGAUGGCGAAGGCAGCCAUCUGGACCGACACUGACGCUGAGGCGCGAAAGCGUGGGGAGCAAACAGG
rnacentral:rRNA from 1 species